ensembl:lncRNA
AUGUCUUUUCCUGUUGAUUCCUCUUUCAGUUCAUUUCCAGGAGCUUUUCCAUCUGAUCCUGUUUUAAAAAUAAUCACAGAUACAUUAGGCAAUGAAACAUCUACAUUUAGUAGACAUGGUCACAUGAUUGUCACAUUAUUUUGUUACAUCACAUCACUUUCUUUUGUGGGAGCACCAAGUGUUACCUAUGAAUACUGUUGAAUGAACAAACCCUUCUUGUAUUAAAAUGAUUACAUUAAAAGACAACUACUCACCAUGUGUUUGAACUCCAGCAUCUUCAGGAUUGGUUUUACGGAUUACAAGGCUCUUUCUGCCCUGUCUGUCUCUCAAUCUCUUAUCAUCACCUAAUACUUUACUUAUGGGAGUCUCUUGAACACAAAUUGACCGUUCACCUUCUCUUUCUUUGAGCUCUGGUCUUGGUGUCUUUUCUUGUGUGUCAUCAACACCUGGAAACAGAGACUUAUAAGUUGUAUAAACAGAAACAGAAACUAUUUAUACUGUUAAAGGGGUCAUUAGGGCUGGGCGAUAUAUCUAACGAUAUGAUCAUGCGCAUCUAAUCAGUAAAGCUGCUUCCGUGAUCACCGCUAAAAUCUCCAUCACCUGCUUAUAAUUGGAGUGGCAUUUAAUAGACAGCAGAGGUGGGACUUUCAAGUCACAAGCAAGUCUUCAAGUCAUAUCCCAAGUCCUCAAAGGGUUAAAGUUAAUGAGAUAAUUAAGUGACUAAUGAAAUGAUGAUUGUACAUUAGUGAUGAACAUCUGCUGUUAACAAUCAACAUCACUGAAGUAAAGAGAAACACAAGAACUACAACUGCAUUUAGCCACAGCCUUCAACUGAAAAAAAAAAAAAAAAAACACUAUGGCACCAUAAUUGUGGUCAGGGUUUGCUUUAGGUAGUCUCUUGACCCUUUUACUAAUUCAAAGCAAUUUGAUUCAAAACAACUUCAACAUUGUUUUUGCAACAAACAUGUAUGCAUUGCUGAAUCAAACCUUGUAGUGACAGAUGAUCUUAUGCUUUUUCUGCUUAUAACUCAUGUUGACUUGGACAUCAUGAGAUAGUCUUCUUUGGAUUGUUGACUGACAUUCAGCUUUUACCAGAGUGGGGACUUUCAAGUCACAAGCAAGUCUUCAAGUCAUAUCCCAAGUCCUCAAAGGGUUAAAGUUAAUGAGAUAAUUAAGUGACUAAUUAAAUGAUGAUUGUGCAUUAAUGAUGAACACCUGCUGUUCUUGAGAAUUACAGAGGAUCAGAUGUUGAUGUUUUAUUGGUUAAAGUGAUGCAACCAUAAUGGAGAUCAGCGUGUGCUUUAGUGGGGCUCUUGACCCUUGACUGUCAUGUUAGAUCUCUUUAUGUAGCAUUGCAUGAGGUGCUGUAAAGCAGAGAGAAGAAAUUAAUCUGUAUGUGAUAGGUGGUCAGAUUACAAUCAAGUUAACAUUAGCUCUAUUUAAGUUUAGCAUAAUCAACCCAGUAAAACUACACUAUGGAAAAAAAUUAAAGUGAAUUUUAAAUCUACUAAGUACAUACAAAAUUUGAAAAACUAUAUUCUGUAGACACACACAGACAUCAAGAACCAGCAUAUGACUCUCAACAGUGGUGACAAUCAACAAAAUGUUGCAUGCUGGGUAAAACCUUAGUAAAAACUCCCGUCAUGCACUGCAGUAUGAAAAAUUGUCACCCCUGUUGAGGAUCGUGUGAUAAGUGUGUUUGUCUAAAAACCUGAACUGAUUGUCUCCUUUUGUGUCUUUCAACAUUUAGAUUUUUUUUUUUUUUACUUCAGUUCAGUAAUAGUUGAGUGUCAGUCUACUAUCCAAAGAUAAACACCAUUUCAUGAUGUUCAGUCAUCAUAAGCUAUAAUCAGAAAACACAUAAGAUCAUCUGUUACUGCAAGGUUCGACUCAGCAAUGCAUACAUGUUUGUUGCGAAAACAAUAUUGCAAUUGUUUUGAAUCAAAUUGGUUUGAAUUAGUAAAAGGGUCAAGACACUACUUAAAGCAAACCUUGACCACAAUUAUGGUGACAUAGUGUUUGUUUUUUUUCGUUUACUUUUUUUUCAGUUGAAGGCUGUGGCUAAAUUCAGUUGUAGUUCUUGUGUUUCUCUUUACUUCAGUGAUGUUGAUUGUUGACAGCAGGUGUUCAUCACUAAUGCACAAUCAUCAUUUAAUUAGUCACUUAAUUAUCUCUUUAGCUUUAACCCUUUGAGGACUUGAAUAUGACUUGAAGACUUGCUUGUGACUUGAAAGUAGGGCUGGGCGAUAUAUCGAACGAUAUGAUCAUGCGCAUCUAAUCAGUAAAGCUGCUUCUGUGAUCACCGCUAAAAUCUCCAUCACCUGCUUAUAAUUGGAGUGGCAUUUAUUAGACAGAGCCGUAGAUCGCUGACAAGCCACGCCAUAUCGCGUUCAUUAUCGCAGAUGAAUCGCCUUCGAUAAUGAACGCGAUAUGGCGUGGCUUGUCAGCGAUCUACGGCUCUGUCUAUCAGAGGUGGGACUUUCAAGUCACAAGCAAGUCUUCAAGUCAUAUUCAAGUCCUCAAAGGGUUAAAGCUAGAGAUAAUUAAGUGAAUAAUUAAAUGAUGAUUGUGCAUUAGUGAUGAACAUCUGCUGUUAACAAUCAACAUCACUGAAGUAAAGACAAACACAAGAACUACAACUGAAUUUAGCCACAGCCUUCAACUGAAAAAAAAAGUAAAAGAAAAAAAAACACUAUGCCACCAUAAUUGUGGUCAGGGUUUGCUUUAAGUAGUGUCUUGACCCUUUUACUAAUUCAAACGAAUUUGAUUCAAAACAAUUGCAAUAUUGUUUUCGCAACAAACAUGUACGCAUUGCUGAGUCAAACCUUGCAGUAACAUCUUAUCUUAUGCUUUUUCUGCUUAUAACUCAUGAUGACUGAACAUCAUGAAAUUGUGUUUUUCUUUGGAUAGUAGACUGACACUCAGCUAUUACUGAACUGAAGUAAAAAAAAAAAUCACAAUGCUUCAUUGCUGAAAGACACAAAAGGAGACAAUCAGUUCAGGUUUUUAGACAAACACACUUAUCACACGAUCCUCAACAGUGGUGACAAUUUUUCAUACUGCAGUGCAUGACGGGAGUUUUUACCCAGCAUGCAACAUUUUGUUGAUUGUCACCACUGUUGAGAGUCAUAUGCUGGUUCUUGAUCUCUGUGUGUGUCUACAGAGUAUAGUUUUUCAAAUUUUGCAUGCACUUAGAAGAUUUAAAAUUCACUUUAAUUUUUUUUCCAUAGUGUAGUUUUACUGGUUUGAUUAUGCUAAACUUAAAUAGAGCUAAUGUUAACUUGAUUGUAAUCUGACCACCUAUCACAUACAGAUUAAUUUCUUCUCUCUGCUUUACAGCACCUCAUGCAAUGCUACAUAAAGAGAUCUAAGAUGACAG